UACAGAGGGGGCAAGCGUUAUUCGGAAUUAUUGGGCGUAAAGGGCGCGUAGGCGGUGCCAUAAGUGAGAUGUGUAAUCCCCGGGCUCAACCUGGGAACUGCAUCUCAGACUGUGGUGCUGGAGUGCUGGAGAGGGUGGUGGAAUUCCUCGUGUAGCGGUGAAAUGCGUAGAGAUGAGGAGGAACACCAGUGGCGAAGGCGGCCACCUGGACAGUAACUGACGCUGAGGCGCGAAAGUGUGGGUAGCAAACAGG
rnacentral:rRNA from 1 species